rnacentral:lncRNA from 1 species
GCUGCCGCUGAGGGGAGCGACCGGCGGCAGCGUGGCGCUGGCGGUGUGGCUCCUCAGGACCGGCGGUUCGCAGCGUAGCGGCGCUUCGCCUCUCCCAAGGCGCCUUCCUCCGCGCGUGUGGUCGCUGUACCGAGUUGGAGAAGGGGUGCGAGGCGCUCCCGUGUCCGCCUGGCUCUAUCCCUGCCCCCGGCCCGGGGGUUUCCCCGCAGCGGUGGCCGUGCGGCGCUGGAGGGAUGCCCUUGAGAUGGGGCGGUAGCAGCCGCGUGUCCUGCGGCCUCCGCUGCGCUGGCCGUGCCGCGGCCGCAGGUGUCGCCCGCCGGGUGGUGACAUCCGCCAUAGUGCUUAAAGGCUGGGGGUUUAUAGGCUGUAAGUGUCCCGUUGGGCGUACAGAGACCAACAGCCGUGAUCCCGUAGCCCGUAUUCCUGUCUCCUGCAGUCCCAGCCAGGAUACAGAGGGACCGAGCUGCUAUGCUACCUGCAGGAAGGAGCUGAGUUAGAGUGACUUGAUGACUGCAGCAGGGAUGAUUGUAGAGAGAAGCUCUACUUGCCGUUUUACCAACAGAUUCAGAAAGAAUGAGACACCUUCUGACUGUCAUCGUUGCCAUCAGCAAGGAGCAGAAGUCCGUUCCUGGUCCACCCCGUCACUGUGGGAUGAGCGCUGGCUGAAGAUCAGAGCUUCCAGGCGGCUUUCUUCCCAAAUGAUGUACUGUGCUCCUGGGGCAGAGACCUCAUUCUGCCUUCAGAUCCACAGAGUACGCCUGUUGGAUGGCACGACUCGAAAACAUAUGCCAGCAUGAAAAGCAGUGGUUUCAAGGGUGCUGCUGGUUUGACAACAGCUCAGACCAGGGCUCCUCACCUUGCCAGCAGCUGCUCCAAACCAGGCAGGGGCUUGGGAAUAAACCUUCUCAGUGGUCCUCUGGGAAGAAAAGAAAAGGUAAUAAAUGAAUAAAUAAAUUUAUAGAUUUCUGAAUGAACUGAAAAAA